AUCGCUGCUAGGCCUAUAUUUAUACUCUGUCCUAAAGAGUUACAACCGGAUACGACUAGGAUUUUAGUUCCAAACCAAACAGAACUCAUACAUAAAAAAAACUCUAACAAUUAUGGAAAGUAACAACCUAUCUAUUCUGGGUAAUCGGCACACCACUAUUGUCCUCCCAAUGACCUCCAUGUCUUCCUUCACCAUCAUCGGCAUACUCUCCUU
rnacentral:lncRNA from 1 species